CCCUCAUUGAGCAAGAAAGCAUAAGUGGGUUCCAGAGAUGCGAAGUUGCCUGGCUGCCUCCCCCAGCACUGCAGACGUGUGAAGCUUUCUAUAAAUGGAUGGAAGCCCUGGUGCAAGGCAGUGCACUGUCUGCUCUAUGGAAGACUCCUUGUCUGAUCAAGCUCACCCCUGAAGCAGCUUGCUAUGAUUUUAGAGUUAACUGCAGAGCAAAGAGGAAGCCCCAGAGCCCCAUCCAGGUUCCAGAGGGCAAUGAUUCCAUGAAAAGCUGGGUUACACUCACUCACAAUGACUGCACUGGCAAAAUGUCAGGAUUAGAUAGGAAGAACUCAUCAAUUUUCUGACCUCAAAUGGUUUCCCCAGAAGUUACAGCUGCAAAGAUAAAAUAGGAAUUUCCUUAAUACCCAGAAGUGAUUCUGAGUUGCACUUAAGAAAGUGAGGAGGAAAAAAAAAGAGCUUUUUGUGAUCGUGAUUUAUUCUAUCACACUGUUAUUUCUCUUUAAUCUCUUUCUUCAGGAAAGACACCCAUUUUAUUUUUUGUAGUUGAACUGACUUUAGAUUAAUGACCACUUAAUUGAAUAACUUUUUAUCAUUUUUGAGAUUAAAAUCUAUUCUGUUCCAAUAAUAUAAUAAUAAUUCUGUUUUUAUCCUUAGGCAUAAUUUUCAUGGUCUUUUACUUAAGCACUUUUAAUCAAGUUCUCAUUAAGUAGUUAUGAGAGUGUGUGUGUGUGUGUGUGUGUGGAGAGAGGGAGAGAAAGAGAGGUGAAAGUAGAGUCUUUGAGUUUUUCUUACUGUUUUAUCUCUUUUCAUGUUUAACUGCAGUAUCAAUUACAUAAUUCAUUUUUCAAGAUUAAUUUAUCUUACCUAUAAUGUGCGUGAUCUAGAUUUACUAAUUUUUGGCACUUAACGUAUAUUAAAACUUAAAUGCUAGUUUUGAAAAGUAAAACCAUUAUACAGAUAAUCAAUUGAUGUAUUAAUAUCAACAACAUGGAUUCAUUCUCACAUCAUAUCUAUUAAAUCCAUGGUAUUCAGUGCA
rnacentral:lncRNA from 1 species